AUGAAAUCUCUAUUGCUUUUCCUUUCCCUGUUCUCUGCCCCCACCUGUGUCUUCUCCCAGGUGCAGCUGGUCCAAUCCGGCCCGGAAGUGGCAAAGCCCAGAGAGAGCCUCGCAUUGAGCUGUGCUGUCUCCGGGUUCUCCAUCUCUACUCAGUAUAACUAUUGGGAGUGGAUCCGGCAGUCCCCUGGGAAAGGGCUGGAGUGGAUGGGAGGGAUUAAUCCAUAUGGCAGGAGCACGUCCUACAUCCCGUCCAUCAAAAGCCGAGCCACCAUCUCUGCAGACACUGCCAAGACCCAGUUCUCCCUGCAGCUCCGCUCGCUGACAGCUGCAGACUCCGCCACCUAUUACUGCGCCAGAAACACACACA